CUUGUGGUGUGUUGGAGUCAGGCACUACAUCCUCCAUGCUGCUGUAGUCACUGCAGUCCUCCAUAAACACACUGCAGCCAUGUUUUCACCGCACAGGGAGGGUUUGGAAGAGAAGUGAAUGUGCAGGAGGCUGCUGAACAACCAGAACCGCACCAGCUGCUUGUUUCUGCAACCGAGCUGCUGCUGUAGAGGAGCAAACACACUGUGUUCUCCAGAGCCAGGACACUGAGCACAGGCUUUUACCAGCCAGGGACCCCUUUAACUUGAUCCUGACCGCUUCUGCUCUCCGGUCCUGCCUGAUCCAUCCUGAUGCCCUACUUCUGGUUGGAGUUCUCAUCACGUGAAAAUCACUCACAGCUGCUGAGGAUGACCCACACGGACAGCCUGAAGUUAUAUGAGAUUUCUGUGGAUGGUCCCACUUAGAAACCAUGAAGAUGGCUUUGGACUUUUGCUAUGAUAGCUUUAGGACUGCUAUUCCCACGAACAGUUAUGCACUCAAGUCUCCAUCAGUGAACAGUUCAUAAGUUCAACAAAACAGACUUCAUGUGAAAACUAGAAUGAAUUUCCUGGUUGCGCAAUUGCACUAUCUGACCAUAUAGUAUACAGUUAUAGAAGGGAUUUAUUUACAUUUGCACUAUCCGUUAUCACCCAGAUGAGGAUGGGUUCCCUUUCGAGUCUGGUUCCUCUCAAGGUUUCUUCCUCAUAUCAUCUCAGGGAGUUUUUCCUCACCACCGUCACCUCUGGCUCGCUCAUUAGGGAUAAAUUCAUACAUUUAAAAUUUAGAUCCUGAUGUAUUUGUUUCUGUAAAGCUUCUUUGUGACAAUGUCCAUUGUUAAAAGAGCUAUAGAAAUAAAGUUUAACUGAAUUAA